rnacentral:rRNA from 1 species
AUUGAACGCUGGCGGCAUGCCUUACACAUGCAAGUCGAACGGCAGCACGGGAGCAAUCCUGGUGGCGAGUGGCGAACGGGUGAGUAAUACAUCGGAACGUGCCCAGUUGUGGGGGAUAGCCCGGCGAAAGCCGGAUUAAUACCGCAUACGACCUACGGGUGAAAGCGGGGGAUCGCUAGACCUCGCGCUAUUGGAGCGGCCGAUGUCGGAUUAGCUAGUUGGUGGGGUAAAAGCCUACCAAGGCUACGAUCCGUAGCUGGUCUGAGAGGACGACCAGCCACACUGGGACUGAGACACGGCCCAGACUCCUACGGGAGGCAGCAGUGGGGAAUUUUGGACAAUGGGCGCAAGCCUGAUCCAGCCAUGCCGCGUGCGGGAAGAAGGCCUUCGGGUUGUAAACCGCUUUUGUCAGGGAAGAAACGGUUUGGGCUAAUACCCCGAACUAAUGACGGUACCUGAAGAAUAAGCACCGGCUAACUACGUGCCAGCCGCCGCUGUAA